GCAUAUCAAUAAGCGGAGGAAAAGAAACCAACAGGGAUUGCCCUAGUAACGGCGAGUGAAGCGGCAACAGCUCAAAUUUGAAAUCUGGCGUCUUUGGCGUCCGAGUUGUAAUUUGCAGAGGGCGCUUUGGCAUUGGCAGCGGUCCAAGUUCCUUGGAACAGGACGUCACAGAGGGUGAGAAUCCCGUACGUGGUCGCUAGCCUUUACCGUGUAAAGCCCCUUCGACGAGUCGAGUUGUUUGGGAAUGCAGCUCUAAAUGGGAGGUAAAUUUCUUCUAAAGCUAAAUACUGGCCAGAGACCGAUAGCGCACAAGUAGAGUGAUCGAAAGAUGAAAAGCACUUUGGAAAGAGAGUUAAAAAGCACGUGAAAUUGUUGAAAGGGAAGCGCUUGCAGCCAGACUUGCCUGUAGUUGCUCAUCCGGGUUUUUACCCGGUGCACUCUUCUAUAGGCAGGCCAGCAUCAGUUUGGGCGGUUGGAUAAAGGUCUCUGUCACGUACCUCCUCUCGGGGAGAACUUAUAGGGGAGACGUAAUGCAACCAGCCUGGACUGAGGUCCGCGCAUCUGCUA
rnacentral:rRNA from 1 species